rnacentral:rRNA from 1 species
UACAGAGGGCUCAAGCGUUGUUCGGAUUCAUUGGGCGUAAAGGGUGCGUAGGUGGCGAGGUAAGUUGGAUGUGAAAUCCCGGGGCUCAACCCCGGAACUGCAUUCAAUACUGCCUUGCUGGAGUACUGGAGAGGAGAUUGGAAUUUACGGUGUAGCAGUGAAAUGCGUAGAUAUCGUAAGGAAGACCAGUGGCGAAGGCGGAGCGCUGGACAGUUACUGACACUGAGGCACGAAGGCCAGGGGAGCAAACGGG